CUCGCUCGAGGGUUUUUGGAGGGGGGGGAGGGGGGAAGGCAAGUGCAAAAGAUGCAUCCGUCUCCAAAAAAAAUUCUAGUCUAUCCAGUAAUUCUAUCGGUUUCAGGACCAUCACGAAAAGUUGACGCAGACGCUGCCAUUCUUGGCGCACCCGCACGCCGGGCACGCCCUCGCCGCGGCCGCGCACGGCGCGCACGCGCAGAGGUGGCGGCACGGCAGCAGCAGCACGUCGGCCGCGUUGUCGCCGCACACGGCGCACGCCCCCCUGACGUGGCCCGACGACGACGUCCCGGUCCCGGCCUCCUCUUCGUUCUCCGCCGCGCCUGCUCCGGUGAUGAAGACGUCGUUCUCCCCGCAGCAGCACGAGUCGGCGUCGUCGGCGCGGCGGCGCGUCUGCUGGGCGUCGAGCGCCUGCUGCAGCUCGCCGCGGAGCGCGGUGACCGCGGCGUCGUUGGACUGCGCCAAGUCACGCCACAUGUGCGCCUCGACGUACAUGCUCUUCACCCGCUCCUCGAGCGCCCAGUUGACGCGCCGCAUCCGCCGGAUCUCCUCCUCCUUUGCGCGCAGCCGCGGGGCCGCGGCGGCCUCCACGGUGGCCACGACCUGCCGGGCGUGCCGCCGCCGCUGCUCGGUGAGCCCCGCCCACAUCUUGGCGGUCUGCAAUUGUUCAAAUCCGCCGCAAAAUUAACACGCCACCUCUCCAUCAGUCACAGUCAGUG
rnacentral:misc_RNA from 1 species